AGUGAACGCUGGCGGUAGGCCUAACACAUGCAAGUCGAACGGCAGCACAGAGGAGCUUGCUCCUUGGGUGGCGAGUGGCGGACGGGUGAGGAAUACAUCGGAAUCUACUCUGUCGUGGGGGAUAACGUAGGGAAACUUACGCUAAUACCGCAUACGACCUACGGGUGAAAGCAGGGGACCUUCGGGCCUUGCGCGAUUGAAUGAGCCGAUGUCGGAUUAGCUAGUUGGCGGGGUAAAGGCCCACCACGGCGACGCUCCGUAGCUGGCCUGAGAGGAUGAUCAGCCACACUGGAACUGAGACACGGUCCAGACGCCUACGGGAGGCAGCAGUGGGGAAGAUGGGACAAUGGGCGCAAGCCUGAUCCAGCCAUACCGCGUGGGUGAAGAAGGCCUUCGGGUUGUAAAGCCCUUUUGUUGGGAAAGAAAUCCAGCUGGCUAAUACCCGGUUGGGAUGACGGUACCCAAAGAAUAAGCACCGGCUAACUUCGUGCCAGCCGCCGCGGUAA
rnacentral:rRNA from 1 species